UGGGGAAUUUUGGACAAUGGGGGAAACCCUGAUCCAGCCAUCCCGCGUGUGCGAUGAAGGCCUUCGGGUUGUAAAGCACUUUUGGCAGGAAAGAAACGUCAUGGGUUAAUACCCCGUGAAACUGACGGUACCUGCAGAAUAAGCACCGGCUAACUACGUGCCAGCAGCCGCGGUAAUACGUAGGGUGCAAGCGUUAAUCGGAAUUACUGGGCGUAAAGCGUACGCAGGCGGUUCGGAAAGAAAGAUGUGAAAUCCCAGAGCUCAACUUUGGAACUGCAUUUUUAACUACCGGGCUAGAGUGUGUCAGAGGGGGGUGGAAUUGCGCGUGUAGCAGUGAAAUGCGUAGGUAUGCGGAGGAACACCGAUGGCGAAGGCAGCCUCCUGGGAUAACACUGACGCUCAUGCACGAAAGCGUGGGGAGCAAACAGG
rnacentral:rRNA from 1 species